GACGAACCGUGCAAACGUUAUUCGGAAUCACUGGGCUUAAAGCGCGUGUAGGCGGGCCGGCACGUCGGUCGCUGAAAUCCCCCGGCUCAACCGGGGAAGCGGGCGCCGAUACGACCCGGGCCUGGAGGGGCGUAGGGGGACCUGGAACUUCCGGUGGAGCGGUGAAAUGCGUUGAGAUCGGAAGGAACGCCCGUGGCGAAAGCGAGGUCCUGGACGCCAUCUGACGCUGAGACGCG
rnacentral:rRNA from 1 species